rnacentral:snRNA from 2 species
AUUAUUUCUCAGCCUUUUAGCUAAGAGCAAGGGUAGUAUCUGUUCUUAUCAGUUUAAGAUACUUUAUCAUAUACUAGAUUCUUAGAUAUGAUCAACAACAAGGCCUAUACAUUCUGUCACAUUGAUUUAUCCAUU